GAUGAACGCUGGCGGCGUGCCUAAUACAUGCAAGUCGAGCGAACAGACGAGGAGCUUGCUCCUCUGACGUUAGCGGCGGACGGGUGAGUAACACUUGGAUAACCUACCUAUAAUACUGGGAUAACUUCGGGAAUCCGGAGCUAAUACCGUAUAAUAUAUUGAACCGCAUGGUUCAAUAGUUAAAGACGGUUUUGCUGUCACUUAUAUAUGGCUCCGCGCCGCAUUAGCUAAUUGGUAAGGUAAAGGCUUACCUAGGCAACGAUUCGAAGACGACGUGAGAGAGUGGUCCGCCACACUGGGACGGGGACACGGACCAGCUUCCUACAGGAGGCAGCAGUAGUGCAUCUUCAGGAAUGGGCGCGAACCUGACGGAGCACGGACAAGUGGGAGAUGAGAGUCUUCGGUUCGUAACACGCUAUUAUUAGGGAAGAACAAAUGUCGACAUAAAUUUACACGUCUUGACGGUACCUAAUCAGAAAGCCACGGCUAACUACGUG
rnacentral:rRNA from 1 species